AACGAACGCUGGCGGCAGGCUUAACACAUGCAAGUCGAACGCCCCGCAAGGGGAGUGGCCGACGGGUGAGUAACGCGUGGGAACAUACCCUUUUCUACGGAAUAGCUCUGGGAAACUGGAAUUAAUACCGUAUACGCCCUACGGGGGAAAGAUUUAUCGGGGAAGGAUUGGCCCGCGUUGGAUUGGCUGGUUGGUGGGGUAAAGGCCUACCAAGGCGACGAUCCAUAGCUGGUCUGAGAGGAUGAUCAGCCACAUUGGGACUGAGACACGGCCCAAACUCCUACGGGAGGCAGCAGUGGGGAAUAUUGGACAAUGGGCGCAAGCCUGAUCCAGCCAUGCCGCGUGAGUGAUGAAGGCCUUAGGGUUGUAAAGCUCUUUCACCGAUGAAGAUAAUGACGGUAGUCGGAGAAGAAGCCCCGGCUAACUUCGUG
rnacentral:rRNA from 1 species